rnacentral:lncRNA from 1 species
GUUUUCCGGCAACAUUUCGGAGCUUUCCGGGACUCCCAAAGGCGCAUAAAAAGAGCUAGUGGAAGCAAGUCUUUCUCAUGGUCUUACUCGGCAAACAUAUCAGACCUUGAUGACUACAACUCUGAUAUGGAAAAGAUCUAUGCUUUGUAAACUAAACUAUGUAUUGAGCAAUAAGGCAGCAUGUAUAGAAAAGAAAAGAAAAGAAAAAUGAAAAAGAAAACGGACCUGUUGGUGGGGGGCUCUAGUUUUUGAAUGGCUGGUUUUUUUCUGCUUUCAAAUUGUCUUAACAGAAGGGUUGACGAAUUGUGUAAUUUUGUAUAUUUUGUAAUUUUGGCUGGUAUUCG